UCUGAUCCAAAAAGCUUUUUUUAAGCACAUAACUGAGACCAAAAAUAAGACUAAAAACCGAGAAAACUAGAAGAGUUAUGUGACACAAGAUAAAAAAAUUCAAUUACCAAGUUAAGGCUUGUAAUUUUUAAUAUUAAUUUAAGAAAGAAAAAAAUGACAUGAACAUUUUUUCCCAACAUAAUUUUUUUAAGUAAUCCCAGCUCUGCCAUUUAUUCAGUGUGUCACUUUAAGCAAGCUGCUUAAACUCUGAUCUCAGUUUACUCAUCUGUAAGAUCAGAAUUACGAUACCUACCUAACAAUAUUGUGAAGCUUAAAUUAAUUAGGUCCUGUACGUGAAGGCACCCUCUGUAGAGCCUAUCACUCAGAAAGCACUCUUAACUAAUGCUUAAGCUUAUAAAAAGUAAGCUUCUUAAAGGAUAGGGACUUGCCC
rnacentral:lncRNA from 1 species